UUCUCUAAACUCAGUUCCAUUUUUCCUCUUCUUGCUCUGACUUCUCUUUACUUUUUCAUCACUUUCCACUGUUGAAAUUUCAAAUAGGUAGUGUGCUUUCGUUCACGGAGUUGAGAGCUUCUCAUUCAUCCGAUUAAAAUUCUGCUUUGGACGGAUAAGUUAUCUUUCUCUGUUCCUCCCUUUCCUUUGAACCUAGGGCAUGCAAUUUUCUAGUUGCAUGAAAUCAAUGGAUUUCCCCUCUAGAUUCUCUACCUAUUCUAACUCUAAGAGAUGUCUCUGUACCCAAUUUGACAUUUUGUAGAUCUUGUUGAACUUGCUUCUAUGCAAGAGUACUGUUUUGGGGUUUCCUCUAAAGAGUGUUGUACUUGUAACCACACUAAGAGGAGGUGUAUGUGGAGCAAGCGCUGAGCAAGCGCUGGAAGAAGGUGAUGUUGCAGCUUAGUAUGUCUAGGAUCUUGAUUAGUAGUAUUAUUCUGAUGAUAAUUCACAGUGGUCCUUUAUGUUUAAGAGAUCAACUCUGAUUUUAUUUUGGAUGGUUGUAACCAAUAUAGUCUGUUAUAUGUCUCUAACUGCUUUCCAAUAUUAUAACCGAACGACGUCUUUAUUA